AUCAACAUUGUUUGCUGGCAAAGUUCGAUUCAGCUUAGAGAGAUCAAGAAGACGGCGGCGAUGGCGGAGAGGGUGUCGAGGCUGUGAGAAUCAGGGACGGACCUACAGGGUAUGCCGGGUGGGCCACGACAUACCCUGGGGCCCAGCUAUAACCCGACCGAUUAGUUUACCUGGUAUACGACCUGAUGUGGCGACGCUCGACCCCGACGAUUCGGCUGCGCGCCUCCACCUCGACGAGUCAACGACCCGAUUCAGCUAUGACUCCUCUGCCGCGGUGUGUGCGCCGCCGCCACCAUUGCUAGUCUCCACGGCCGAGAGCAAGAGUAGCUCCUCCGCCUCUCCGCCAUCUGCCUGCAGGUGGUACAGGAUCCACGAAUCAAUCAAGAAGCCACAUAUCAGACGAUCUCCGUCACUUUGUUUAUUGGUCCGAGAGUUCCGACGGGCGAUGGAUGUUUAAGAUUAAUCUAUCUUCUAUUUUUUUCUUAUUUAAAAAAACUUAUGUUCUUAAAUAUUUUUAUUUAUGUAUGUAUGAGUGCUUUUUUAUUUCAGUUCGUGAGUUUAUUGAACGGACCAUCAAUUCAUCAACAUUCUUAAAUUCUUAAAGGGUAUUUUCUGCAUUGGUUAAAGUGAAAACAAAGUCAAGGAAUAAGCUAGGUGAUAGUAUUUUGGACGAUUGUCUAGUCACAUUCAUUGAGCGGGAUAUUUUCUUCCGAGUGAAGGAAGAUGAUAUAAUCAAGACAUUCAUGUCAUUCAAAAAGUGGCGGGUAAACAAAGCAGAUAAGUAAUAUUGUAAGUUUCUUUUAUACUAUAUUUCGAACUAUUGGUAUUUCAUUUGAACUAUUUAUAUUGUGAUUUGUUAUUGGUUCUAACUUAAUCUUUGAAUUUAAGACUUACCAUGUUAUUUAGUGCAUGUGGUUUACCAAAUUAGAAUAUAGUUUUACCAAAUUAUAAAUGGUUUUAUCAAAUUGCAUAAGAUUUUUUUCGGCAUACCCUGUGGUAAAAUUCUAGGUCCGCCACUGGUGAGAAUCCCCACCACACAUCGGCAGCAACUACACGCAUAAUCCCUCAUACAUAGCUCUCAACAAGGAUAUGUGAGAAGUUUUGUUUAGCGGCUAACGGCAAUAGCCUCUAGCAGGGCAGAAAAAGGUCAGGAAUGACUAGUCCAUGUCUUUGAAUGGAAAUGGACAAAUGUAACCCUGACCUUUCCACCAUUUUUCAGUGAGAUGUGGAUUUUGAAUUGCCACUCCUUGUUGGUUUUGGAUUGUGUCUGAUUUUGAGCAGGGGGAAUAUAACUAUGAGAGCACAAGCCUAAAUGGCCAAUACCUGUAAAGGAAAAACAAGCAUAUCCUUUUGGUUACCAUGGAAACUGAGUUAAAUAAGCACGACAUGUACUUGUAAUGAUUAAAUUUCUACUUCUCAUCAUUCUUUUGAAGCAAUCGAAGCGAUACUUGCCUGAUCGAAGCGAUAUCUCCGUGGUGGAUGCUCCAACGUGAACACUUAGUUGUACAUCAGAUAGGUCUACUGUUUUCCUUACAUCCAGUAUUGGGCUGCCGCAUUGGACACCCAUCAGAAAUGGGCAGCUUCACAGAGCUUGGUUGCAGUGGGGCCGCAGCACCUGGCUCAGAUGGUCAAGGAGUUCUUUUUAUCUAGGCAUA